GUAUCCAGGCUGAGAAGGUGGUGGCCCAUGGUGGGGGAUUCGAUGUGGUAACUCUGACGGUUGAUGUUCAGUCAGUCAAAGCGGUGCUCUGUGCCGACCCGACUCGAAGAAUCGAGCAACUCCACCGUUUAGGCGUUCACGAUAAUUUGGUAUAUUGGCGCUAAUUAUUGGAUCGGGAAUCACCAUGUGGCCGCCGGCCGCCGAGUCCAUCCGGACAUCCCCGUACAUCGCAAUCCCUCUCCAUCUUCGCCGGCCCUCCUCUCAGCCCAUCAUGAUGUUCCAGCGUUCGAGGUUGGCUAUGAGUCUGCAAUGAACGCCGGCGGCAACGAUUUGUUCCCGGUGAACCCGGCAGGCGCUGCCUCUGCGGAAGCGCGGCUGCGGUGGGAGGGGGCACGCAUGCCUUGCUUUGCACGCCCUACGUGCUCCUGCCACGGCUCUCGGGCUGCCGCAGGUGCGGCCGUCGAGCCUCUCCCUGCUUCACUUCCUCUCCCUUUUGCGCGGGCCUCACAUUCCUCUCUCUUUCACAGGAAGCAGCGGGCACGACGAGGGAGGCCCGUCCGGCCGGCGAGAGAAGGAGGCACACAACCCGACCAUCAAGCGGUGUCGCGGGGGAGCCGGCGAGGACGGAGGGGCGGGGUUCCCCGCGAGCCGGUCGGCCAGUUUCCAAGGCUGGACGGCAUCGCCGCUGUGGAAGCCCGCACGCCAACAACGGUGUUUCCUGAGGAAACGAACAUCACGCUUGCAGCUGAGAUGGCGUCUGUGUCGUCGACAUCUCAUCGACGCGAGCAACUGGCGAGCGCCGGUGGGAGCGAUUCCCCCCUCCCCCGUCUGCGAGUAGCCUCCCUAAUGGCGGUGCUCCUGAUAUUUUCCCCUUCCCAAGGCCAACGCCCUCCUCUCCCUCCCUGGCCGCCGCUGCCCUCCUGGCUAAGUUCUUCCCUGUCCAAGCCCCUUUUCUCAACGGUGAUUGGUUAAGGACCAAAAGCGGGAGGAGGAGGGAGGCGGGGGCGAGCGUGCCGGCAGAGCAGUUGGCAUGUAAGAGCGCCGCCAGGCACCGCCGGUGUCGGGAGGAGCGGCAGGAUGGAGGUGGUCCUUGCCACACAGCAGCACCGUCAAGAUGAGGCGCCAAGAUGCAGCUCAAGCCUCGCCAGCUGAUGCACGCUCCAAGUACAUGGGGUGGGUUGUUGCCCCAAAUCUGGACUCAGGUAAGAUGCACCAACUCCAGCUCUUCUAUUUUUUUAUUGGUCACUCCGAUUUUUUCGAUUUUUUGUUUGUAUCGGUUCUUAUUCUUUCUGUUUUGUUGGCCUAUCCUUGCAUCUUUCCGUACUGUUCGUCUAGCCCACCAAGGAAAAGAUGGCUGUCUAGGCAACGGCGCGGUGCCCUCUACUGCUCUGGCAGAACGGCCAGAAGAGCUUGCGAUUUCUGCCAACAGUGCAUAGGAGGGGCAUAUGUUCAAGCAACUGCGUGCUGGUUGCUGUUUGACAAAAUAUGUGAAAAGCACAAGCUUUGGCACUAUGUAUUUACAUGUGUGCAUAUAUUUGAGACAUGGGAUUUUUUAUUCGUCAUGCGUGUUUGCUGCAGUAACGAAGAAAAUAAAAGAGCUUGCUCCCCGGCUUCUGAAGUCUGAAAGGUGGAAUAUCAAAUUGAAGGUCUCAAGAUAGUAAGCUUGACAAAGAAUAUAAAGGGACUUCAAGAAGUGAUGCUCUAUCUCUUAUACAUUUGUCUUCAAAAACAUAGGAAAUGCUGUGCGAGAAAAAAAGAACACUCAGCCAGGUUUAGAUACAGGAUAAAGGCAUGUAAGAUGAGGAGGAUUUGAGAUUCACCAACAGAAAAAUGUGUUAUAAGUUCACUGCAUGAUUUCCAUAAUGGAUAAUUCGUAUGGAUAACUGAGUGCAGUGAAAUCUUUAUACACCUUAGGCAUACUAAAACCUAGAGUUUUCCAUUGAUAAGACCAAGCGUCACUCUCAAUGAGCUAUAGAUAAAGAAAUGUGAUACUUCAUUCUUGGAAUGUCAGUUUGCCUGGACAUGAUGGAAGUACCUGUGAGAGAUUUCCAAGCUACAGAUUUGUUCGUGGUACCAUUAAAUUACGUCGGUUGUCCCUUUCCAUAUGGAAGUUAUUACAUCACUGGCUUCAAAUGUCUGGUGCUACACGAAUGACUUUAGAUUCAAAAACAUUCAACCAAGAUUUUACAGGUGCAUGAAAAUAUUCAAGGCUAAUGGGGUUCUUCUAUGGAGACUCCAUGAUCUUACACAAUAAGCAGCUGGGUGUUGGUUCCUCUUAUAGAGCUUCGCUGUGCUAACUCCUAUUGCAGGCAAGAAUAGUUUAACUACAUGUACCUAUUUUGUGUACUUUCCCCUUGUUGGACAAGCUUAUAUAUCCACGGUUUAUCCGUUCUGUGAACUUCUUCGUUGUCAUGUAUUUGAACUUCUGAUUCAUUUGUUGCGACGAUGGGGUUCU